rnacentral:rRNA from 1 species
UACGUAGGGACCAAGCGUUGUUCGGAUUUACUGGGCGUAAAGGGCGCGUAGGCGGCCACCGCAAGUCGACUGUGAAAUCUCCGGGCUUAACCCGGAACGGUCAGCCGAUACUGCGGGGCUAGAGUGCAGAAGGGGCAACUGGAAUUCUCGGUGUAGCGGUGAAAUGCGUAGAUAUCGAGAGGAACACCUGCGGCGAAGGCGGCCUGCUGGGACGUGGCUGACGCUGAGGCGCGACAGCGUGGGGAGCAAACAGG